AACGAACGUUCGCGGCGCGCCUAACACAUGCAAGUCGAGCAAGAAAGGGCUUCGGCCCCGGUACAGCGGCGCACGGGUGAGUAACACGUAGGCAAUCUGCCCCUGAGUGGGGGAUAACCUUCCGAAAGGAGGGCCAAUACCGCAUGAGACCACGACCCCGCGAGGGGAUGAGGUCAAGGCCGGCCACUUCAUGAAAGCCGGCGCUUGGGGAUGAGCCUGCGGCCCAUCAGCUAGUUGGUAGGGCAAUGGCCUACCAAGGCAUAGGCGGGUAGCUGGUCUGAGAGGAUGAUCAGCCACACUGGAACUGAGACACGGUCCAGACUCCUACGGGAGGCAGCAGUGGGGAAUCUUGCGCAAUGGGCGAAAGCCUGACGCAGCGACGCCGCGUGGGUGAUGAAGGCCUUCGGGUUGUAAAGCUCUGUGGAGGGAGACGAAUAAGGCAUGGCUAACAUCCAUGUUGAUGACGGUAUCCCUUUAGCAAGCACCGGCUAACUCUGUGCCAGCCGCCGCUGUAAUAC
rnacentral:rRNA from 1 species